rnacentral:rRNA from 1 species
CCUACGGGAGGCAGCAGUGGGGAAUAUUGCACAAUGGGGGAAACCCUGAUGCAGCGACGCCGCGUGAGUGAAGAAGUCAUUCGUUAUGUAAAGCUCUAUCAGCAGGGAAGAAAAUGACGGUACCUGAGUAAGAAGCCCCGGCUAACUACGUGCCAGCAGCCGCGGUAAUACGUAGGGCGCAAGCGUUAUCCGGAUUUACUGGGUGUAAAGGGAGCGUAGACGGCAGUGCAAGUCUGGAGUGAAAGGCGGGGGCUCAACCCCCGGACUGCUCUGGAAACUGUACGGCUGGAGUGCAGGAGAGGUAAGUGGAAUUCGUAGGGUAGCGGUGAAAUGCGUAGAUAUUAGGAGGAACACCAGUGGCGAAGGCGGCUUGCUGGACUGUAACUGACGUUGAGGCUCGAAAGCGUGGGGAGCAAACAGGAUUAGAUACCCUGGUAGUC